AAGGGGCUAAAAGCUUAUAACUUGAAGUAGGAAGGAGGAAGGAGCUUACAGACCUCAGAUAGGCGAGAGACGAUAGCAGCAAAAACUCGCAGAGAGAGAGAGGCGAUGGGGAUAGUGAGCAAGGCAGGGGAUUGGGCAUUCAAGGCCUUCACUGCGGGCCUGGGAAUCACCACCAUAUACCUCACCGCCACUUUCUCUGCAAAUGUCUACAAAGGCCUCGCUUGGCACAACGCCCAAUCGAAAAUCGAAAAAGAGCAGUCUGCUGAACAAGCCCCGUAGUUUCUUGAGUUUUCACGGCUGUCAGGGAUCUUCUUGUCUAUGAAACUUAGAUUAUUGAUUUUGUCUUUUACGUUUUAUGUAAUUGAAUUAUGAGUUAGAUUUUGGACCUAAUUAAUGGCUCUCAGUUAGUUGGCAUCACUUCCAGUUCCAGAUGCUAUGGAGAUGUUUCUGAUUUGGAUAUGACAUUUUGAAAUACUUCUCUAGGUCCAUUAUACUGGUUGGAUUUACCCUUUGGAUAUACAAGUUCAUUAUUUGUUUGAUUGGAUUUUACCCAAAUAUGUUUUGUAUUUUCAUAUUUAUUGAAUAAUUAUUCCGAUGUGGAAAA